rnacentral:lncRNA from 1 species
GUGGUGAUGCUCAUCUCUGUAUCAGGUACAGUUUUUAUUUCUGGAGUUUUCUCUGUUGUCAAAGCUCAGUAACACCAGCUAAAAGUCUGUUUAUUAACAUGGUUCUAAAUCUAUCUGUCCUUAAUGUAACUUUCUUACAAACGGCAACAGAGCAGCUGUUUCUGGACAAAAGACAAUUGAUUACAUUUAAUAAAAUCUAUAUGAUUGAUUAAAGCCAGCUGUAGUUUUUUGUCAGUUUUGUGAUUUUUGGUAUUACACAUAAUAACAGAUCAGUAAAUUUAUUUAUACAACAUCUGAGAGUUCAGUUUAUUUCAGUCUCCAUGAUAUCUGAAAGGCUCUGAAGAAUAAUGACAAUGUGUGUGAUGAUGUGCUGCAGGGGCUGACCACGUGGGACAAACCUGCUAUAAAACAUAUUCUAACAGUGGUGUAAUAAACACGUCUACACCUAAAUGGGCAAAAAACAUCAUCAGCUGCAUUGAACAAAACAGACAUGGCUGCCUACAUGGAUAUGUGGUUAAAACACGUGUAGGAAGAACAUUUCUCCUCAGACCAAACACCGAGUGGCUUAAAAGGAAAAUAAAUGAGGUGAGAAACAAAAUAUUUAUAAAAAUGUGGAAACAAAGUUUAGAAAAACCAACAGUGACAUUCUAGCAAAAGUGUGACGAUUAUACUAUAGGUAAUAAAAAGACACUGUGUAUAUCUGUCUAAUGGUGCUUUAUGUCACCUUCUCUCUUUCACCACCACAGGGAACUCUGCUGUGUCCUCCAAUGAUUUCUAAAUGAUGAUGAUGGAAACGAUGAAGUAAAGUUGACGUAAAGCAGCAACUGGAACCAUUUCUGCUGUUUUAUUUGUUCAAACUUUUACAGAAAUAUUUGUUAAGAAAUGUUGAUUAUUUUUGUAAAUUGUUCAUAUGACUUGAGUCUUAUAUAUUAUAUUUAUUAAAAAUGUCAUUAAAUAUGAAUGUUUGACCGUUUUUAUUCUGUCUUCAAUCUGAGAAGAAAGAUAAACAAUAAAAGCCUUUAAAAUCAGAUUUAUAAUGGUGUGUGUCAUUAUUUAGUAUUUGCUGUAACAACAUAUUCUCAUGAUGAUGUCACAUUCACAGGACACCGGGAGGCUGUGUUUAACACAGAUGGCAGAAGUAAAAGUAAAUAUUCA